GACGAACGCUGGCGGCGUGCUUAACACAUGCAAGUCGAACGGAAAGGCCCUGCUUUUGUGGGGUGCUCGAGUGGCGAACGGGUGAGUAACACGUGAGUAACCUGCCCUUGACUUUGGGAUAACUUCAGGAAACUGGGGCUAAUACCGGAUAGGAGCUCCUGCUGCAUGGUGGGGGUUGGAAAGUUUCGGCGGUUGGGGAUGGACUCGCGGCUUAUCAGCUUGUUGGUGGGGUAGUGGCUUACCAAGGCUUUGACGGGUAGCCGGCCCGAGAGGGUGACCGGCCACAUUGGGACUGAGAUACGGCCCAGACUCCUACGGGAGGGAGCGGUGGGGAAUGUUGGACAACGGGCGGAGGCCUGAUGCAGCAACGCCGCGUGGGGGGAAGCGGCCUUCGGGUUGUAAACCGCUUUCGCCUGGGACGGAACGUGAGUGACGGUAAUGGGUAAAAAAGCACCGGCUAACUACGUG
rnacentral:rRNA from 1 species